rnacentral:rRNA from 1 species
AUUGAACGCUGGCGGCAUGCUUUACACAUGCAAGUCGGACGGUAACAGGCCGCAAGGUGCUGACGAGUGGCGAACGGGUGAGUAAUGCAUCGGAACGUGCCCAGUCGUGGGGGAUAACGCAGCGAAAGCUGCGCUAAUACCGCAUACGAUCUCUGGAUGAAAGCGGGGGACCGAAAGGCCUCGCGCGAUUGGAGCGGCCGAUGUCAGAUUAGGUAGUUGGUGGGGUAAAGGCCCACCAAGCCAACGAUCUGUAGCUGGUCUGAGAGGACGACCAGCCACACUGGGACUGAGACACGGCCCAGACUCCUACGGGAGGCAGCAGUGUGGAAUUUUGGACAAUGGGCGCAAGCCUGAUCCAGCAAUGCCGCGUGCAGGAAGAAGGCCUUCGGGUUGUAAACUGCUUUUGUACGGAACGAAACGGUCCGGGUUAAUACCCUGGGCUAAUGACGGUACCGUAAGAAUAAGCACCGGCUAACUACGUGCCAGCAGCCGCAGUAACAC